rnacentral:rRNA from 1 species
CAUGGCCUUUAUAUCCUGGGCUACACACACGCUACAAUGGGAAGGGACAAUAGGUUGCGAAGCCGCGAGGUGGAGCCAAUCCAGUAAAACUUCCCUCAGUUCAGAUUGCAGGCUGCAACUCGCCUGCAUGAAGUUGGAGUUGCUAGUAAACGCAGGUCAGCCAUACUGCGUUGAAUACGUUCCCGGGGCUU